GAUGACCGCUGGCGGCGUUCCUAAUACAUGCAAGUCGAGCGAAGCGGGGACGGGUGAGGAACACGUGGAUAACCUCCUAUAAGACUGGGAUAACUUAGGGAAACCGGAGCUAAACAGGAAACUUAUCGUGGGAUCCGCGCUGCAUUAGCUAGUUGGUAAGGUAACGGCUUACCAAGGCAACGAUGCAUAGCCGACCUGACAGGGUGAUCGGCCAGACUGGAACUGAGACACGGUCCAGACGCCUACGGGAGGCAGCAGUAGGGAAUCUUCCGCAAUGGGCGAAAGCCUGACGGAGCAACGCCGCGUGAGUGAUGAAGGUCUUCGGAUCGUAAAACUCUGUUAUUAGGGAAGCGGUACCUAAUCAGAAAGCCACGGCUAACGACGUGCCAGCAGCCGCGGUAAUUUC
rnacentral:rRNA from 1 species